UCACAGUGGAUGAAGUAUUUUGCUGCACAGCUAUCAAAAACAGAGACAUGGUACCCUUGCAAAGAUUAUUUCAAUGAGGACAGAGAUCCACCAGCAG